CACAUUUUCUUUAUGAUCCAGUUUAAAGUUUGCUUCGAUGAUUUUUCAAGACAAUGUAAUGACAGUAAAAAUUAUCCGCCAAUGAGCAAGCUUAUUCAACGGUUUCAACAAAAAAUUUACAUCAUCUUUAAAAAUUUGGGAUUCAAUUUUGAGCGAUAAAAUUGACUGCAUGGAUCAAGGUUGAGGUUAUCAAAGGUAUGAAGUUCACGUCUCGACUAAGCUGGCUCCUCUAUUUUCAAGGUAAUCAAUUCGAUGACAUGUUGCUGAUGAGGAUGGUUAUGAUAAUGAUGUUGUGUACAUGUUUAUGUUGGAAUAAUUCAAUUGAAUUUGCAUUUACAAAAUCAAUUCAAGAAAACAUAAGCAACAAGGCUAUCCAAUUUAAAGACAAUGAUAAUUACCAGCAGCUUAUAUUACACUCACAGACCAUUAAUCUUUCAUUUAGACAGGUAUACCAUUAAAUUCAUUCCUUCUAUAUGGAAACCGCAAUGUUGAUAAUAAACAUGAUCCUGUUGUUAAUGGUUUAACUGGCAAAUUGAGGAUCAACUGGAAACAAGAAGCUUUGUGUAAGGAGUCAAGUCUGUUUGUUAUACACUUUUAAAGUCAAGAUUCAUUGGCAUUGGUUUUUUUUGCUUGUCCUACCUGCUAACUAUGUUUAAUUCAUCACGAUCAGCUGAAAAGAAACUAAAUGUUAAAUAUUCAUCUCAUAUUCAUAACCAAAUGGUUCAAAUUGAAUUGUUGUUUGGUGUGACAUCGUUAAUAUUGCUGUUGUAAUUGAACCUUCGUGAUAACUUACUGUUGAAAGGGUAUUUCUGAAUAUCUGAAGCUCUCAGUUUCUCUUUUAAGACUAACAAUUGGGGCCAAUUUAUUUCAAUUGAUUUUGAUGAUUGUUGCAGGAUUUGCUAUAACGGAUCAAUUUGGAUUCAUUGCAAAACGAUUAUAAUAUUAUAACCAUCUCAUACUUUCUUUUUUUUCCUAAUGCUAAUCAUGAGAGUCAUGAAAAUUCAGUGUGUAAACCUUAAUUGUUAUCAGCUAUUAAGGUUAACGAUGAGCAACGGACUAAUCUUUUGGUUGAACAUUUUUUUUAAGAUGGUUAUAACUAAAAAUCAAUCAAGAAAGUCAAUCUAACCAUUUAAGAAUCUUAAGUCAUGAUGUAAAGUAUGAUAUUUGAUUGCCUUAUUUUGGUUUCAAAAUUGCUCCUCAAUGAUGAUUAUAUUGGUAAUGGUAAAGUUUCACUCUCAUUAUAAAAAUUGUUACAAAUUGCGAUGGACUAAAAUAACCAUGUCGAAAGUGAAAUCGUGUUAUUUCAUGAUAUUUAUGUCUGAGGCCUGAAAUAAUGAAGCAAGUAAUCACAAAAAUUGAAACACAAUCUAACCAAGGUUGUAACCAGAAUUAUAAUGGCAAAAGAAGUCCAUCGAUGGAAACCAAAAGAAGUAUCAUGAACAUUGAAGUGCAAACACAAAUCAAUGUCCAUCAAAAGAUAAUUGCAAAUGUUUGAUUAACGUAUGGAUAAAAAAGUGACAACAAAGUUAAUUUUUAGGAUGACAACGCCAAAGUGGAAAAGAUUGAAAUGGAAAUGAAAAUGGAACCAAGAAAAUGGAUAAAAUAUAAUUAUUUGGAUGUGAUUUAUUGAAUAACCUGAUAUUACACUUUUGAUGGAUAUACU